CUCAGUUCGCCUCCUGAAAAUUUUCCACUGAGGCUGCGGGGCGCCAAGGCCGGCGAAGCGCGGGCAGCCGCUGCGCGCAUGUGUUCUGCGCAGCCCGCCUCGGCUCACCCGGCGCCCACGUGACGGUGAUUCACUCGCUCGGUUCCGCCUUCCUCCCGGGCGCGUGGCGGCGGGAGGGAUGGAAGGGACGGGGUGCCGCCGCGGGGAGCCAGUGAGACGAGGGGGAAAAACCUAGGCAUCCCCGGACGUCGGGGCUGGUCCCGGGUGCUUGGAGGAAAAGCCGCGCGGGGACGCGAGGCCCGGCGCGGUUUGACGCGCGCGGCGGUGCAGGCACGUCCCGAGGCGACAGCGAGGACAGCCGCCCCGUGUGCAGGGACGCGUUUGUCUUCCUGUAACUUCAGCUUCUAGCACAUGGAGAAUAACCCAGGAAAAUGAGGCACUUGGAUUUUCGGCAUUCAAUAAAUUUAUAUUGAUUGAUGUGUACUCAAGAAAUGAGCACCCUUGAAAAGAUGCCCCAAGUGAUGCUGAGCAGCACCACACAGGUUGUGAGAGCACUGCAGGCCUGGAAUCCUGGCUCUUCUUGCUGCCUCAGGUUUCCCGACAGAGUCUGAGAAUGAACGCUUUGCAGCUUUCACAGUAUCGUACUAUAAAAUCCGCCAGUGACUAUUUGUACUCGAGAUGGUGGAUAUAGAUGAUUGGUGACUCAGAGGCUGAUGGACUGGAUCCUCACAAUCAUCGUGUACUCCGGGGCAUCUCUAAUCCAGGACUGAGCAGUUUGGACAAGAUGCACUUUGGAUUGGAAUUUGAUGCUGACUGGGGACCAUGGUGAGCCGCAAAGGUGACAAGCAUGGUCUGCUCAGUGACUCAAUCUGUGCAUUGGAACAGCGGAUGACGUUUGGAAUUUUGGUUUCCCCACCCACUGAGCAGAGGGAUGGGAAGUGCCGUGUGUAUUACAUUUAUGUUCCUGUCCAGCGCUUCAUGCUCAAGGUGUCUGAGCCUGAGGCUCAAGUCCUCCCAGAUCCGAGAAGAAGAAGAAGAACAUGGAUAGAAGAGCAUCGACGCCAGAAAAAUCUCUGGAGAUCCUCUAGACAGUCACACAUUAACUCUGUGUCUUUCUAAAUGGUGGUGGCCUCUUGUGGGACGAGCUCAAGGACAGUGCUCACUAACCUGAAAGGAUUAUGGUUACACAACAUUGUUGGCUAGGGAAAGUUCAAAAGAAACAGAGCCCUUGAAGGACUUGAGCAAACUGGUUUGCUUGGGAGAGAUAAGAUUGAACAUAAAAGUUAUGAUAUUUAAUUAACUUUAAGGUACAGGCAACUGUCAGCUUCCUGGCAUUUUCCCCUUUGUGGUAAACAUAGGAAUAAUAAACUUGGAGAGUUUGGGGCAAACGUGGCAGUAGGUGGGAGGUACCCCUCCGUGAGAUUGGCGAGAACAAACAUUAAAUAGUGUCUAAUUAUCAUAUGAGAAGAUUCCAAAGAAUCUUUUCACACAUCUUAGGGAGAAACCUGAAAUUCUUUUCGGAACAUAAUGUUUUACAGUUACACUUGAAGUGGCUCCCUGCCAUCCCUAAGGAAGACAUUGUAACUCUGCUCUCUUCAGUCUUGAGAGCCACUACUGCUGAGAAAGACUGUUGGAAAGUGAUGUGCUACAAAAUGAUAGCUGAAUGCUAGCAGGAUUGAAUGUGUACAGUCAUUGAAAUUGUAUUUAAAGAUGCGGGCAGCUCUUUCUUUUCCUGACAAUUUUAAUACAACUUCAAAAUUUAUCAAAAAUGGUGAAGCUCUAAUGUGUAGAAGUGUUGUGGGGUUGGUCUCUCUCUCUCUCUCUUUCUCUCUGUCUCUGUCUCUGUCUCUCUUUCUUUCUUUCUCUUACUUAGUUUUUAUUUAUUUAUUUAUUUUUUGGUUGUUUUCGAGACAGGGUUUCUCUGUAUAGCCUUGGCUGUCCUGGAACUCACUCUGUAGACCAGGCUGGCCUUGAACUCACAGAGACCUGCCAGCUUCUGCUUCCCGAGUGCUGGGAUUAAAGGCCUGUGCCACCACCACAGCCCAGUGGUUUGUUUUUCUUAUCAAUGAAAUUCACAUAGUAUUCAGUAACUUUUAAGAAGGAUUUAUUUAGGUUGUGUUUCUAUGUGUAUGCCUGAGUGUAUGUGUGUGCACCAUGUGCAUUCCGAUGCUGGUGGAGACCAGAGGACUGCCUUGGGUCCUCUGGAAUCUAAUUCAGAUCCUGUGUAGGAGCAGUAAGUGCUCUUAUGUUUAGGCUCUUGAUCUAUUUUGAAUUAAAUUUUAACCUGGAGUACCCCUCAGCACGGCAUCCAAUGUCGUCUUUUGUUUGUGGCUCUUCAGCUGUCUCAGCACCAUGUGUCGAGGAGGUUGCUGCUUUCUCUGUCGAUGCUGAAGGCUCCUGGCUUGGUUCCAGAUGUCAGUUCUCUUCUUUGACCUUGGGUGCUUGUUCUUGGGCUGGUGCUCAUUGUCCCCCAAAUCGUGACAUCAGAGUUCUCUUUGGAACUGGAAAGUGUGCACACUCCAGCUUUGUUUACCUUUCACAAUAUUGCUUUGGAUCUUCAGGGUCCCAGCAAUUCCGCAUGAAUGUGAGCAUCAAACUUUCAUUCUGAAAAGGAGGUCGUUGGAAUUUCACCAGGGGUCACACCAAGUCUACAGGACAGUUUGGCUAGGAUUUCCUUCCUGGAGUUAAAUCUCAAUCCAUGAACAUGGGAUAUCUUUCUACUAGUUGAGGUUUUCUCCUUUCCUUCAGCUGUGUUUGUAGUUUUCAAUGUAUAAGGCUUUGACAUCGUUGAUGGGAUUCAUUCAUAAGUAGCCUGGUGCUACUGUAGGUGCAACUGUUUCCUUUUUUAACUUUUUUUUAGUCACAUUCACCUCUCCCCCAGUUCUUCCUCCCACGUUCCCCUACCCCACCCCACCUCCUCUCUCUGUCCCCUCCUGAGUCCAGUCUGUGUUAGGCCACUACUUCUGGGUAUGGGCCUGCUCUGGAGUGGGGUUGAUAUCCCAGGACUCACAUCAUUCACACCUCUUCUCACAUCAAACAACAACUCUCCCUCCCCCAGCAGCAAUCCAAUGCCAAUAGCUCCUCAGCUGGGGGUGAGACUUGGUGCCCACCUUCCUGGAAUUAUUUCCUUUAUUUCUCCUUCUCAUUCUUUUAUUGCUGGUGUGUAGAAACUUCUUUAAUGAGCUGACUGGAGCCCAGUGACUGGACUGCAUUUGCAAACCCUGGCAAUUCUUUUUGGAUGUAGGCUUUGAUGGUUUCCAUGUGUAGAAACAAACCAUCUACAGACAGAAGUCAUUUUGUCUGUUCCUUUCCAAUUUGGAUGCCUUUAACUUCUUUUUUCUUGCCUAAUAAUUUUGGCCAGGGCUUCCGGUACAAUGCUGAAUGGUAAAUGUUAGUGUUGAGAGCUGGGAUCCUUAUCUUAUUCCUGAUCUUUGGGGGCAAUCUCUGCCUUUCACCAUUAGGAUGGCUUAGCUGCCUUUUCCUACAUGCUGAGAGUUUCAUCUUGUGGAGGCAGUUCACUCCAUGCCCUGAUCACUGAGUGCAUUUUAUAUAGAGAGCUACUGACUUUUGUUCAGCGUGGGAUUUUGUGUCUGUGUCUUAUGGGAUGAUCUUGUGUUUCUACCCUUAUCCUCUAACAAAAUAUGUUGUAUCAAUUACCACCCCUACAUUUCUCAGAAGUCUCUUUUUAAUCACAGGAUUUCUGUGUAGUGUGCUAUUGAAUUGAGGCCAUCCAUACUCUUGAAGACUUUUUUUUUUAAAUCUAUAUGGCUAAGAAUAGUUUCUCUUUUCAGUUUUCUUGUAGUAUCUUUGUCUACAUUUUGUGUUGAGUAGUAUUAAUCUUGAAGAAUGUAUCUGGAGUUUGUCCCUUUUCUGUUAGAAAGAAUUGAGUUGGAUCAGCAUCAUUUCUCCUUUAAAUAUUUGGUAGAAUUCAUUCUUUUCCAGAGUCAAUUUUAUUGGGAGAGUUUUUAAAUAUCCUUAUUAAAAAUCAAAUAUAAAUUUAAAAUUUCAGGUAAAUAUAAAUUAAAUAACCGUGCACAUUGUAUAGUGUUUUAAGAUGUGUGUACAUUAUGGAAUGUCUCAAUCAAGCUAAUUGACGUUUAUCACCUUCACAUACUUAUCACUCUCAGGGAUUUUUAAAAGUGUUUUAUAUGUGAGAAACAAAUAUACUUUCUUCAUAAUUAGAGCAUGGAGACUCCAGAGUGAAAGGGAGGUAGUUUAUUGUGCAAUUUUUUGAACUCAGGCAUCAGCCCAGGAGGGCAGGCAAGCUAAUUGAAUACAGAGAACAACUUUUAAGCCCUAACAUGACCCCUUUCCACUUUCCUCUUUGAUUAAGUGAUGGGAGGGUCAAUCUUACACGUAACCUAGGUCUUAUCCUUCCCUCUGCCUCUUACGUUCGUCCUCUCCUUAACAUAAACCUUACAUGAGUUCAUUUCUACCUUCUGUAUCCUGUGGAUUUUAAAGUUGAUCAAGCCCAUGACCUUACCACCAUGGCUUCAGGUCAUCAGGCAAGCUUAGUCAUUUCUUUUAUUCUAAAUGUCUAGUUUUAGGGGGCAGGGAAGCUAGACUAGCAGGCAUUCGCAGGGUUCUAACUUUUUUUCUGUUGUUCAUUUGGAUCUAAGCUGGCUUAGGUGAACCAUCAGAUUUCAUUUCCUACGUGUAUGUCGUCACUAACUGUGGUAAUUGUAGAGCUCUUGAAGGGAUGCUUUCUGUAUAACUGAAAUUUUAUUCCUUUGGACCAACAUCUCCCCCCAUCUACCACCCCCAGCUCUUGGUAACUGACAUUCUGUUCUCAGCCUCUGUGAGUUUGGUUUUCUUACAUUCCACAUAUAAAUGAGACUGUGAGCUGUUUCUCUCUGUGCCUGAGUGGGGGUGGGAGUGGGGUCAUAUGGUAGCUCCAUUUUUAAUUUUUUUUGAGGAGACUCCAGUUUUCUGCAGUAGCUGCAUCGAUGGACCUUCUUCUCGCCAGUAUCCAAAUGCUCCCCUUUAUGCCCAUCCUCACCAGCACUUGUUAUCUUUUGGGGUCAUAUCCAAAACGUCUUGAUCGAUGAAUGUACCAGAAGCUUCCCUUGGAGAGCUUUGUGACUGUUGAGAUCGUCUGUGUCUUGAGUCAGUGUGUGUUGUUACCGUGACCAUCACUUGGCUGUGGACAGCUGCCACAGUGCGCUCUCGUAACGGUUGCAGUCUCUGGAAGGUCAGUAGUCAUGUCGACUGUCCAGUUUCAGCAUCUUUUUUCUUUUUCAUACGCUGAAGUUUCACUAACUUUAUUGAUUAUAUCAAAAACAAAUGACUGGUUUUCUGAUGCUUUUCUGGUCUCUAUUUUAUUUAUCUCUGCUCUGAUCUUUCUUCUCUUCCUUCUUAUCUCUGUGUUUAGUUUGUUAUUCUUAUUUUUUUUAUUAUUUUUUUUUUGGUUUUUCGAGACAGGGUUUCUCUGUUUAGCUUUGCACCUUUCCUGGAUCUCGCUCUGUAGACCAGGCUGGCCUCGAACUCACAGAGAUCCGCCUGCCUCUGCCUCCCGAGUGCUGGGAUUAAAGGCGUGCGCCACCACUGCCCGGCUGUUAUUCUUUUUGUCAGUUCCUUAAAAUAUAAAAACAAGUCACUGGUUUGUGAUAAUUCUUUUGCAAAGCAAGUUCAUUUUCCUGUAAUCACCGUUUUAGCAAUUCCCCAUAAGUUUUGGUCUCUAAUGUCCUUUUUUCAUCACCUCAACAUAUUUUAUAUUUUUCCAGUGAUUUCUGUUUUUUUCUCGUUGGCUGUUUAACAGUAGUAAAUUAAUUUCUGCAUAGUGGUACAUUAUCUAAUUUCCUUCGGUCAUGGAUCCCUAUCUUCCUUCAGUGAUAUGAUUCAAUUGUAUGGUGUAAUUUACAAAUCCACUGGCGAUGGUUAUUGGCAUCGAAUUUUGGCAUCUCAGAGAAUGUUCCGUGUGCAUUUGAAAAGAAUAUCUGUUCUGCUGUUGUUGCAUAGUGUUCCAUGAGUCUCUGUUAAGUUUUGCUGAUUCACAACGUUGCUCAAGUCCUGUUUCCUUCUUCCUGGAAGCACCAGCAAGCUAUCCUGGAAUGGUGGGCCGAGUAUGGAUGGCUUCCUUCUGCUGGCCUGGCGGAUGGGGGGUGGUAGUUGGUGUACACAUGCUGAAGUUCAUUGGAAUUCACUAGCCCUUCUCUCAUCAGCCAUGUCACUGGAUGCUGUAAACGUCUGACAAGCCUGAGGUACUCCAAACUGUAGGUUCUGAUAGUUCGUGCCAGCUCAGUAGCUGCUUUGGAGGAAGUAUGGAUACGUGUAGCCUCCCACUCUGCCAUUUUGGGAGGCAUACGCCUUCAUAUGUUUUUUUUGUUUUUAUUUUCAUCUUAUGUAAGUCUGUUGGAUAUUGUUAAAAGGUAGCAUUAGCCUAAGUGAACAAAAUGUUCAAAAUAGGCAAAGACAGAAGUUUAUACCUGAUAGAUGCUCCUGUUUGGCCUGCUGUAAUUCCCACAUCCACUGCUAUAACCAGGUCAACCAUGAGCUCUGUGCCGUGUUGGGCUCCCGGUCUCACGUGUGGGUGAGCAGAGGCUCACUCUCAACUGGUUGCUGGCACAGCUGAUUUGGUGGUAGACACUUUCCCACUGUGCUUAGCAUGCCAGACUUGGCUGGCAAGUGCUAGAGACUGCUCAUCAUCCAUUUUUCACAGGAGCCAAGCAGUCUCAUGACAAUGUGGGGAGCCUGGCAGAUGCUGUCCACUCCAGUUGCCUGAAGCUCUUCCUGGCUUCCCUGAAUGCCAAGAGAUUAAUUAUGACCAAUAUUAGCCCAUGGGUGUACCCAAAACAUAAUCUGGCCAUCUCUGAGGUAGACAAUAAAUGGAAUGAGCUAACCAUGUCAUCUCACCUCAUGGAUAAGUACCACUCAGAGCUGAAAACCAGGCAAAGAGCACAUUCUGACCCAGACUUGGAUUUGUCUCCCAUUAAAGGCCUCACUCUUCACAUCUUACAAGUGCUGCCUCUAUUUCGGAUGAAGAGGUUUCAAGGACCAGGGUGGCCAGGGAGGUACUCUUGGAGGAGGGCUUUGUUGAGCUUUGAAGGCUGAACAGAAUUUGGAAGAGCAUGGAGCAGGUGGCGAUAUAUUCCUGGAAGGAUCCCGAGGCUACUGAAAUGGCAUUUCAAAACAAAGCCGGGGAAGAGUAGCCAUAAUGGCUUCUGGUUGGGUGCUUCUCUAUCACAGUGGCUUGUUUCAGUCGUGAGUGAUUUUGCAUAAUAUUUUCUCAUUCGCCCCAUUCAUAUGGCUGUUAUUUAAAACAGUGUAAAAACCCUGGAGGGGGCCGCCAGAGCUCUGAGUAGAGCCUGAGGACAGGUAAUCUACACACCUCUCGUGUUUGCAUGAACAGCAUCGUGUGAUGUCCAGUUGAGACUUGUAAAUUCAGUUCCUUUGCUUCUUAGAGAGAUGGGCUCCCCAGCAGGCCUCAGGUCCUCUGUUGGCCGGCCGCAGCCGCUCUUCUCUAAACUGACCAACUUGAGCCCAUGGAUGGAACGCGAAUUCUAAUUGGUCUUAAUAUUAAAGACCCGGAGUCAGAUGUUAGGGUGAAGGCUGAAAGAUCAGAGAAGCAGAGCAACCAGCCACCAGAGAGACUUCCUACCUCUCCGACUCCUGAAAAGGGGGCCGAGCUCCUGUCUCCACCCGCCUUAUAUUCCUCUCUCCACUCAGCCAUAUCACUUCCUGUUUCCUCCUCCCUAGUGCUGGGAUUAAAGGUGUGUGCUACCAUUGCCUGGCCUCUGUGGUUAACUAGUGGCUAGCUCUGCGCUCUGGUCUCCAGGCAAGCUUUAUUUGUUAGAGCACAAACAAAACAUUACAACACAUGGAGCUACUGUGGCUUGAAUAUGGUUUGGGUAUACUUGCCCCCUCCCAGGGUUCCUAGGUUGAUACUCUGUCCCCACUGAGGGCUUAAGAGGGUGAAACAUUGGUCUGACUGUGGUGUUUAAGGGUGGGUCAUUUGGGAAGUGAUUAGUUUUAGACAAAGCCUUGAGAGUAGAGGCUCCAUGGGUGAAUCCAGGCAGUUUUCUAAGAAGUCGAGUGUGCACAGGUUCCUCUUGACACGUGGUGCUCCCUGCUUCCUCAGAACUCUGUCAGAAAGAAUACCAUCACGAGGUACAGCCCUAGAUCUUAGAUCAAAAAUAUGAGCUGAAACACACCUGUUUACGCUGUAAAAUAACCCGCCUCAGCUACUUCAUUGUAAUAAUAAAAAUGGACAAAUAAAUUAAGCCAAUCAGCUGGGCGGCAGUGGAGCACUCCUUUAAUCCCAGCACUCAGUAGACAGAGCCAGGCAGAUCUCUCUAAGUUCGAGGCCAGCCUGGUCUACAGAGCGAGUCCAGGACAGGCACCAAAACUACACAGAGAAACCCUGUCUUGAAAAACAAACAAACAAAAAAAGCUAAUCAAGAUGACAAGAGAAAUAUUACCUUUCUAGGCUAUCAUAUUAUUUAAAAUACCUACAAACAAAUAAUCUUGAAAUAAUAAUACCAAAGUAUCUACAUCUAAAAGUGUUCUUGCUUAAUUCAUUAUCAUUAGUGGUCAUUCAUUGAACAUAGUACUGGUUCCAUAAGUACAACUUUAUAUAGGUAAAUAAGAUACUUGAUCUUAAAAUACACCAACCUUCUGAGGAUGCAGUUUGUGUAAAGCACUUACCCAGCACAUGCAAGAUUCUAAAUUCAAAACUAAACCAAACAACAACCAGUCAGCUGCCACCACACACAGCAAACACACCCAUCAACCAACAACAGAAACCUAGCCUCCAUUCUUAAUCAUCCAGGAUAGGUAAUUUUCUACUAAAAAUCUUUUAGUGUCUGUCCUAUGUGCCAUAUCUUUCUCACCAAAUGGGGAGACUUUUUGGAUGGGAUAGAAAAAGUCCCUGUGCUCAGAGACCUCUUUUGUCACGCUUUUGGUCGUCCGUCUCCUCAGACAAAGACGGUAACUCCAACUGGCCAGGAGGCUUUUUGCUGGCGGCGGUGCAGGCACUGUGGUAAAUUGGCUGUCUGUGUUGGGAGAACUCGGCAUUGGGAAGGUUUCUGGCUACAGGAGGAAGCUCAGCUCCUUCUAUUGCUUCUUUGAGGCAAAUUGUUACGAUCAUUGCAAUGAACAGUUUGGUUAGGGGUGGAGGCCAGGACAUGUGUUUUCCAUCAGAAUCGCAUGACUAAGGAUAAGUGAGCACACACUCCGCACCAGCGAGAUGGAGCAGGUUAUACAUAUGGGUUUGGAAUAAUCAGAGUGACUUGUAGAAAUCGAUGAAAGCCCAGAAUUUGACAGAAGGGCAUGAAGGUUUCUGCUGAGACCCUCAGGAUGCAGUGGUUCCCUAGAAGCCAGUUGCUGGGUGUCUGUCUCCUGUGGGUGAGUCCUCCUCUGCUCACCCUGUUACCAACCUUGGGCAGACUCUUGGCUCUUAGAUCUGCACAUUCCCUUCCCUACCAAAGGUUCCUGACGCCCAGGAGGGAAGGGCCUGCUCCAGCUCUGUCUUUCCUUUUCAGUCCCCGGUUUGGAAAACAGGGAUCAUAACAGUGGAAUAUUCAUCGGGGAAAUCAGUCUUUCUGGUUUGUCUGUGGGUGGAUUCUCCCUCCCCCAUUCCAGGAAUGCUUUCUAUAUAACAUUCAAGCAUUUACUCCCUAGUCUCUCUUGUAAAGGGACAGGCACCUUCUGUAGACUUGUGGUCACAAGGGACUUCUCACAGGAGAUAGUGGUGAAUUGAUGGCGUUUUCAGGGUAGCGGUGGUGGUGUCCAGUGUCCAGUAUUGAGAAUGUUAGUGGCAUAGGCUGGGCCUAGCCACUUCCCAGAGCAGCAGCGGCCACCUGGCUCAGUCUCAUUUUAUGCACCAUCCUUGCCUGGAGAGCCUCAAAAGUGGCUUCACAGUCUUACUGCUAACACUGUGGCUGUUUGCUAGCUCAGCCUCUUGCGUGAAUCUCUCUGGAAUCUGCAGUCCAACAUGAAUGAGCGUGGAAGAGAGGAGAUGCCACCAGUGGACUGAAGCCAGGACACCUUCUGGAAGGCCUCGGGAUCAGGUUCAAUUUGCAUCCUGGCUUUAUACUCUAAAACCAUAAGGUGGGGUGGGCAAGCAAGCAAGGUUCUAGAGAAGCAUGUGUCAGUCAGCAGGUUGUUAAGGGCAACAACCCAGUCCAUUGUUAAAGCUGUUUCUCCAGGUCGUUCCGUUCCAGGUGGUGGCAAGUGAAGCCAUGCUUAGAAAGGGCCGGUACAAGCAGUGCUUUAGACAGAUAAGAAUCCAUCACAACAUGGCAUCAGGCAGGCACUGUGGCUAGAGCAGGGAGCUGAGAAAUCACAUCCUUCAUCACAAGCAGGAUGCAGAGACGGUGAACGUGAAGUAGGUAAGGCUGUUACCUCCUCCAAGCCUGCCCCCAGCGCUUCCGCCAGCCUGGUUGCACCUUCUCACUUCCUGAAACAGCACCACUGACUGCGGAGCAAAUGUUCUGCCAUCUACGCAUAUGGGGUGGGGGCGGGGCAUCCUCAUCCCAACCACUCCAGCUUUCAAGGAAAAUGGUGUCGACAUUUGCAGUGGGAGAAGCAGGAAGCAGAGCCAGAGACGAAACUGCAAUCACAUCCACUGUGCUGUGAGCAUUCUAAGAAGAACGUCUGAGGGUAAAUGGCUGGAUAGAAUACACAGAUGGAAUUUUAGCUCUCACAGAAUUAACUGGGUGCAGCCUUCCUUCCUCAUUUAGAAAUGAGGAACGCUCUGGGCCCUGGGUGAGUUACUCACUGCUAUUAGUGGGCGAGUGGCAGACUGGGACCCUGUCUCACUCUUGGGUCUCUGGUCUUCACCCAGCCCUCUUGCUCUUCCAGUGGAAGAACUAAGAAGCAGGUGUGUUUAGUGUGGGUCAGGUUCUGUGGGGAACCGAAAAGGAACCGUGGUCAGAGCACUGAACACUUCUUUCUCCUGAUGGUCAAAGCCGGAGCCACAGUCUACCCAGACAUGCUCAGAACCAAAGAGAAGAAGAGUGAGCCUGGCUGGUGCCUGUCUGCCAGGAGCUACAGCCAGGACAGCCAUUGCAGGCUCUGGUCAGGGGAGUGCUCCAGGGAAGCUGAUGGGCUGGGUAACUCUCACCACUGGGGUGUGGUAAGGGUCAUUAACAACAGCACAUAUUAGGGUAAAGCCACAGUUAGAAAUCAACUCAUAGUUUGCAGUUUGUUUUUGAAAGGACAUCAUGUUAUAACUUAAAACACACACACACACACACACACACACACACACACACACACACACA